rnacentral:lncRNA from 1 species
CUUGGUUCUUAUUUGGUGUUUCUCUUUGUGAGUUUUAGAGCUUAUGGUCAUCUUCAUGACAAGCUCGAGUUCAUCAAAAACGGAGUCCAUAUGCAUCUACUAUGAUGUUUUCGAUGUUGGAGUUUUUGCCAGUUCUUCAUUCAUAGAGGACUCACAUCUCUAUAUCAUUGGCAUUAUCAUAUCUGCAUGGUCUUAAGAUUUCAUGUCGCCCUGAAUCCAACAAGCUUGGGUUUGCUCGAUUCGGAGCUCGUAUGCGAAAGUUAUGGAUGUUUCAGUGGCGAGCGGUAGUACCGCCACAGGCCUAGCAGUAGUACCGCCAGGGGCAGCGGUAGUACCGCUCCAGGUGGGCGGUAGUACCACUUCGGGACAGUAGUACCUCUCUCUAAGCGGUUGUUGACCCGUCGGACUUUUUGCAAAGACUUUCUUUAGCGGUAGUAUCGCGAGGGCUAGCGGUAGUACCUCCACGGCUAGCGGUAGUAC